rnacentral:lncRNA from 1 species
ACAGAAAUACGCUCAAAUUGAGUUUAGAGGGGUAAUAGGACUCCUGUGAAGUUGGAGUGUGUCGUAGCAAAUUUGACCAUGGUUCGGGGAGGUACUGAAUGCUUAUCUCCACAAGAUUCAAAAAACUUUUUACACUUUCUUGAACUUCAUGCCAAAUGAAAAUCAGACAAACAAAUUGAAACGUAAAAAAACUUUUUACACUUUCUUGAACUUCGUGCCAAAUGAACAAAUUGAAAUAUAAAGAAACUUUUUACACUUUCUUGAACUUCGUGCCAAAUGAAAAUCAGACACACAAAUUGAAAUUGAAAUGUAAAGGAAGAAUGUGAAAUCAAGAAAACAUAC